GUGCUUGAAUAAAAAUCCUCAUUCUAGUCUUCCAAUAGGUAUAAUUUGUCCCAUUGAAGAGUGGAGGUCUAUUGGUUGCCUGCCCCUCAGCAGGAAUAUUAUUGAAGGGUGUUGCCAUCUAGAUCUUUGGCUAAGACGGUUAGUUCUUCAAGAAAUACACAGAGCACCUGCUCUGAUACCACUUGUUGCCCAGAGAUGGUCACCCAAGAGGGGGGUGAAUUGGGUGUUUUAAAACUUUUUGACUAAUUAAAACAAACACACACAAGUGUAUGUGCUAAAGUAAAGUUAAAGCUAUACGCACAGUCAAUCGCAAACACAACAAUUUAUAGUGGUUCGGAGCUUCCACUGCUCCUACAUCCACUCCCCAAAUACCUUUGGGAAUUUCACUAUAAUCUGCGAUUACAGUCCGGUAGUUUUGCGAGUGCACUACCCAACUCGUUGUUUUACACCGG
rnacentral:lncRNA from 1 species